GAUGAACGCUGGCGGCGUGCCUAAUACAUGCAAGUCGAGCGAACGGACGAGAAGCUUGCUUCUCUGAUGUUAGCGGCGGACGGGUGAGUAACACGUGGAUAACCUACCUAUAAGACUGGGAUAACUUCGGGAAACCGGAGCUAAUACCGGAUGAUAUUUUGAACCGCAUGGUUCAAAAGUGAAAGACGGUCUUGCUGUCACUUAUAGAUGGAUCCGCGCUGCAUUAGCUAGUUGGUAAGGUAACGGCUUACCAAGGCAACGAUGCAUAGCCGACCUGAGAGGGUGAUCGGCCACACUGGAACUGAGACACGGUCCAGACUCCUACGGGAGGCAGCAGUAGGGAAUCUUCCGCAAUGGGCGAAAGCCUGACGGAGCAACGCCGCGUGAGUGAUGAAGGUCUUCGGAUCGUAAAACUCUGUUAUUAGGGAAGAACAUAUGUGUAAGUAACUGUGCACACCUUGACGGUACCUAAUCAGAAAGCCACGGCUAACUACGU
rnacentral:rRNA from 1 species